rnacentral:rRNA from 1 species
CCCUUAGAUGUUCUGGGCGGCCCGCGCACUACAUUGGCACUAGCAAAGAGAUCCUAGAUUGGAUUCUUUGGGGUAUUCUUCUAAAUGGUGUCGUGACUGGGAUAAAUCCUUGUAAUUAUUGGUUUUGAACGAGGAAUUCCUUGUAAUCGCGGUUUAUCAGCUCGCGUUGAAUGCGUCCCUGCCCUUUGUACACACCGCCCGUCGCUCCUACCGAUGGAUCGUCCGGUGAAGCUCACGGAGUGACUGUUCACGCAACGGUUUACGAAGUGAAAUGGACCUCACGAUUUAGAGGAAGGAGAAGUCGUAACA